GAAUUAAAGAAGGCAGUCCUUGAAGAUUUGGUGCGUCUGGGCAAGGCUAGUGGCCUCCACUCUUUUGAGCAGGUGAAGAACAUCUACAUCCACAACGAGAUGUUCUCCAUUGAAAACGGCCUCCUGACUCCAACACUAAAGGCCAAGAGACCAGAGCUAAAGGAGUUCUUCAAGGGGAAGAUUGACCAGCUCUACAGCAGCAUCUCCAUGUGAAGUCCGGCAGACCUCGUUUUCCUUCAAGCAUCUUAGCACUAAGAGCUACUUUGACCAUUGACCUGGGAUGAAGAUGUGACCUUAGGCUUAACAUGCUUUGGGAAAGCAAGCCAAACCUGGCCGUACUAUGGGAGAUUUAACAUACCUAAAUAAAACAAAUCAAAGAAAUAAAAUGAAAUACAUUACACAUUGUUAUGUGUAUUUCCUUUUUAUGUAUGCAUUUAUUGUGUCAUAAUUACAUUAAAGCAUAUGUUCAAAGGAAAAUGAUUUAGCUUUAAUUGUUUUUCAUUGUGACAUGACUUUUCCAUGCCGCAUUAAAAACAAAUCACAAAAACAAAAAUCACAAAAAUGAUGCGUUUUAGUGUUGUCCAGCAGAGACCAGCAGAGACCUGCCAAUAGUACAGCAAACACAAAGCAUGGAGUGCAAAGGAGCUUUGUAAUUUUUUUAAAUAGUGACGCAUUGCCAAUGCCAAAGUCAGGGGGGAAAAAAAAAAAUUCCAAUCACAGCUUUGGGGAAAGGGCCCACCAGCACAGUGUUGGCAGCCAUGACAGACAGCCUUUCACAUUAAAACUGUUUCCUGUGGGCUAGCUGGCAAGAGGGGAACUACUGUUGACUGUACAUUUAGUCUCAUUUGUGAUUGACUGUCUGGUAUUUUAAGGUGCUGUAGGCGGCUUGGUAACUUGGUAAGUGGUGACAGGUAAUUAGUUUGCGUGAACGCUGAGUGGUUUAAUAGAGGAGGAUAAGCUAUUGCUAGUAGAUGUAGGCCUACCUGUAAGUUAUUUAUUUUUAUUUUCAAGGGAUAAGAUUAUAAACCCUGUACCUGGGCCCCCUUCCUCAGGCUGUGAUUGGCCAGUUGGUUGUUUUUCAUUUUGGCCUUGACAAUUGACAAAGCUCCCUUGCAACUCCUCAUAAAAACUAAUGACUAAUAAAGUGCUUUGCAUUUAGCAUUCAAGCUGUUCUCAGCUGGACAGCCCUGAAAUGUAAUAGACCAAUUCAUUUAGUUAUUAAAGUAAAAUAAUUGUCCUUUUAAGAUAUGUUUUAUUUAAUUAUGACAUACUAAAUGCAUUCUUUGUUUGAUUUGUUUUUAUUUAGGCAUUUUAAAUUGUCCACACAUUGCUACCUGCUAUCCACCCAAACACACCGUCAAAUGCUCCGUCCCCAGCACCAGAAACUCAUCAGCACUUUUAUGUUGAACAAUCCAUUCCUAUCUCCUGCUUCUCUCCUCCAUCAGUUUAAACCUACCAGCCAAACAAGACCUAAAAUCCACAGUUGUACGACAGCAAGUGUGAUGUCUUUGUGUAUAGUGUAGCUCAAGGAGAUGUCUAGAUUUGUGACAAUACUGAUACCUUGUGGGACAGAAAAUUACUUACUAGAAAACAGCAUAUUCACAUUUGAUUGAACAAGCUGCUGACAGCAGUGCCAUUAACCAGGGCCUGAUAAAUCUCCCCUGAUCUGACACAACCAGGAUUAAACUGGUUGUGUCAACCCAGACAACCCAGACAUCGUGCAGUUAGACCAAAAAACACAUCCUCCUGUUUGAGGUCUAAAUUAAGAUAAGGUAAGGAGUGUAGCCUGCCUUAAAAAGCAUUGCCACACGGUUCUAUGUGGAGCAUCUGAAUGUUUGAGCCACAUCCAAAUCGCAGUUUAUGUCACAUAUUCACACAUUCAUGGCUUCGAGACUGCGUUCAACAAUUCAGCAUGCAUGGACUGGCCGACUGUAAUAAUCAUCAAGGUUCACACUCCGCAGUUGGCUCUAUCACAACUUUCUUUACAUCCAUCUUUCCAAAAAGAGUGCAGGUAAAAGGGAAAAAAAGAAAUAAUGCAAAACCAGGGCUCAGGGCAAUGCAUGCAGUUUGCCCUGCAAUGCUGGGACCGUUAGCAUUUGACUUGACGAGUAUUUCUUUGUGGCCAUUAAUAGCAGGUUGUAUGCAGCUGCCCACAGCCACUGCUGCUAGCGCAAGGCUUUGUAAUGUAGGCAGAGCUGGUAAAUUCCACUCACUGAAGGAAAAUAGACCAAUCAUCAACUUUUAAACAAAAUCAACACGUUUUUCGGAGGGUUUACACAUAGAAGUAAUGUAUAGGCUUUUUAAGUUGAUUACCGUCCCAAAGCAUAAACAAUGUGGAUGUACAUAAAUGAGGACAGCUAGAUGUAAGCAUAUUUAUUAAAUCAAUGGUUUGAAUGGA